rnacentral:lncRNA from 1 species
CAGCAGUAAAGAAUCUACCUGCAAUGCAGGAGAUGCGGGUUUCAUCCCCGCGUCAGGAAGAUUCCCUGGAGGAGGGCAUGGCAACCCACUCCAGUAUUGGAGUUCUCUUGCCUGGAAAAUUCCAUGGAUAGAGGAGCCUGGCAGGCUACAGUCCAUGGUGUCGCAAAGAGUUGGACUUGACUGAGCGACUAAUACACACACAAGUUAUAUUUCAAAUCCUUUAAGUCAGCUUAUACUAAAAAUUAGUUUUAUAAUCAAAAUUGCCUCUUUUGCGUAAUUGUUUAAUUUCUGCUAAACAUCAUGAUGCUUGAAGUUAGAUGGAAUUGGAAAUUGUUUCCAAAGUAUAUUCCAUUGCAUUAGUCUGGCUGUAGACAAUACCAGGAAAAAAAAAAAAGCAUUUAAAUUAAAAGACUAUGUAGUUCUUUGACAGAGUUGCUUAUUGAAUAGUUUGUUCUUAGAUUAGAGCAAGAGUUUUUAAGUUGGGAUUAAUUUAUUUUCCUCCUAUAUAUGUAUUUUUCCUUAUAUUUUCAAAACUGUUAUUGAGAAUGUGUCAAGAUCAUUGAGAAAACUUUACAGUUUAUAAGAACGUGCACUCAACCUCUGAAUCCCACAAGAAAUGCUAAGGUAGCUCACUGGUUUACUUCUAGCAAUAGCAUGAUGCUACUCACAUGGAUAUUACCUCAGUUGAAACCAGGUAUAACAUGUAAAACCAGUCUCAGCUAUCAUAAUAACUUCUUAGAGGUUAUUUUAUAGGCAAUUCAAGUUAUUGGAAACCUUUUAAAAUUUUCUUAGUUUUAUUAAUAUGAACUACUUUUCUAGGAUUUUUAAAUAAAAGCUGUACAGGUGGCAAGUUGUAGUUUUUUAAGUCUGUAGGGUGAUGAAUCUUACUAGAAGAUUAUGUGAAUUAUUCACAGUUCCUCCAGGCCUGGGGAUAACUGUUAAUUAUACCUAUUUUUGUGUAAUUACAUCAUAUUGUGCAUUACAAAUUGAGAGUUACUAUUUGCUUUUGCACAAUCUGUUCCUUU